rnacentral:rRNA from 1 species
UUCCUACGGGACGCAGCAGUGAGGAAUAUUGGUCAAUGGGCGGGAGCCUGAACCAGCCAAGUCGCGUGAGGGAAGACGGUCCUAUGGAUUGUAAACCUCUUUAGGCGGGGAGCAAUGCCGGGCACGCGCGCCCGGAGGGAGAGUACCCGCAGAAUAAGCAUCGGCUAACUCCGUGCCAGCAGCCGCGGGAAUACGGAGGAUGCGAGCGUUAUCCGGAUUUAUUGGGUUUAAAGGGUGCGUAGGCGGAUUUUUAAGUCAGCGGCAAAAUGUCCGUGCUUAACCCGGGCCGGCCGUUGAAAUUGGGG